rnacentral:rRNA from 1 species
AUUGAACGCUGGCGGCAUGCUUUACACAUGCAAGUCGGACGAGUGGCGAACGGGUGAGUAACGCAUCGGAACGUACCGAGUAAUGGGGGAUAACUGUCCGAAAGGACAGCUAAUACCGCAUAUUAUUCGAGCGGCCGAUGUCGGAUUAGCUGGUUGGGGGGGUAAAGGCCCACCAAGGCGACGAUCAGUAGCGGGUCUGAGAGGAUGAUCCGGCAAACUGGGACUGAGAAACGGCCCAAAGUCCUACGGGAGGCAGCAGUGGGGAAUUUUGGACAAUGGGCGCAAGGCUGUGCCAGCCAUGCCGGGUGUCUGAAGAAGGCCUUCGGGUUGUAAAGCUCUGUUAAUCGGGACGCGGUACCGGAAUAGAAAGCCACGGCUAACUACGUGCCAGCAGCCGCGGUAAUAC